UACGAAGGGGGCUAGCGUUGUUCGGAAUUACUGGGCGUAAAGCGCACGUAGGCGGAUUAGUAAGUCAGAGGUGAAAUCCCGGAGCUCAACUUCGGAACUGCCUUUGAUACUGGCAAUCUCGAGUCUGGAAGAGGUUGGUGGAACUGCGAGUGUAGAGGUGAAAUUCGUAGAUAUUCGCAAGGACACCAGUGGCGAAGGCGGCCAACUGGUCCAGUACUGACGAUGAGGUGCGAAAGCGUGGGGAGCAAACAGG
rnacentral:rRNA from 1 species